rnacentral:sRNA from 1 species
ACUCCUGGAGACGCGGAGGCCCGGGCGCUCCAGACCAGUGUCCUUGUAGGAGGCUUCUUCCCGAAGCUUAGAGUUUGGCCUUUCAUAGGGAAAGACUUGCUCGGGAGCCUUCUAAGGGAUUUUAAAUCUUCCUGGGCCAGGGCUAGGGAGCUCUAGUGACAGUGUCUUGGUCUGGCAUCCAACUCUCCAAUUUUGAGGCCGCAGGGAGGAAUUCUGAGACUUUAGAGGCCGCACAGCCUUCAGCGGGCUCACCGCGUCCAGGCGUCAGUAAGGGGCUAUCUCGAGGCGCGAGUGCACAAAAGGUAGCGCGAGUCUCUUCUCAGGCGAUCCAGAUAAGAGGAAAUGAGAGCCGGGUUUUCUGACUUCCAACUCAUUAGGGACCAGGUUCUUUUUCUUCAGGAUCAGGCACAGAGACUGACUGAAUGGCUCCAAUUAUCAGGAUUUGAAAACCCAGUAUCAGAAUCUACCACUUUGUAUGGAGAAACUGAGGCCCAGAAAUUGAUGUCCAGAAUGCUUUGCUCUUAGCCACUGUACUAUUAUGGCAUAUUUUAUCUUUAUGUAUUGCAUCAUUUCAUGGAUUCAAGUUUAUCAAUGUCCUUUGACAAGUUUAAAAUCUGUCUGCUAAAAUCUAUCAAAUACAUUAAGGAAAAGUCCCACUUGGCACAUCUCC